AGUCAUAUGCUUGUCUCAAAGAUUAAGCCAUGCAUGUCUCAGUACAAGCCAAAUUAAGGUGAAACCGCGAAAGGCUCAUUAAAUCAGUUAUGGUUCCUUAGAUCGUACCCACAUUUACUUGGAUAACUGUGGUAAUUCUAGAGCUAAUACAUGCAAACAGAGCUCCGACCGGAGACGGAAGGAGCGCUUUUAUUAGAUCAAAACCAAUCGGCGGCGGGUUCGCUCGUCGUCGUACACCUUGGUGAAUCUGAAUAACUUUCUGCUGAUCGCAUGGUCUCGCACCGGCGACGCAUCUUUCAAAUGUCUGCCUUAUCAACUGUCGAUGGUAGGUUCUGCGCCUACCAUGGUUGUAACGGGUAACGGGGAAUCAGGGUUCGAUUCCGGAGAGGGAGCCUGAGAAACGGCUACCACAUCCAAGGAAGGCAGCAGGCGCGCAAAUUACCCACUCCCGGCACGGGGAGGUAGUGACGAAAAAUAACGAUACGGGACUCAUCCGAGGCCCCGUAAUCGGAAUGAGUACACUCUAAACCCUUUAACGAGGAUCAAUUGGAGGGCAAGUCUGGUGCCAGCAGCCGCGGUAAUUCCAGCUCCAAUAGCGUAU
rnacentral:rRNA from 1 species